rnacentral:lncRNA from 1 species
AUAAAUUCAGGACUCCAUGAAGAAAAGUUCAAGAAGUUCCUAAAUGCCCUUUCUGGACAGUAAUGGCGUUCUAGAAAAUGUAUAAUGCUGCAAUCUACUUUUAAACAGCUGCUGUGGCUCCUGAUCAAAGACAGGAACUGAGACGUGCGUGCCUUCUCUACGUAAAGAAAUUGCCGCUGCCUCUACAUCUAUGCAAGCAACUGCUCACUUGAUUUCAGACAAGUUAAGCAAAUUAAGAGAGGAUGGAGACCCAAGAACAAUAAAACUGCUUUGUAGUCAUACGAUGUUAGCAUAGAACAGAUAACAGAUCAGGUCCAGGUCUGGCAUCAACAGUCAUAGCUCCAGCUCUUACAGGAAUUGAUUGUAGGCAUCAAAGUUACCUUCAUAUGUCAAAGCUUGUGCUGACUGGAAAAUGUUUGGGCUUUGGAAAGCAAUACCAUUUGAAUCAUCAGUGCAAGGUUCUUGCCAAAAGGAUUUUCAUUGGCUUAUUUCACAAUCCAGAAGAAGCAUUACUGUACAUCCAGAUGGAGAUUACCCAGCUCUUUACAACAUAUAGAAUGAGGAACAAAUCUGAUUCAUUUUUCUACUCCAUGAUUUGCCCUGAAUUAAAGAGUCCCUCUUCUUGGUAUUUUUUCAUCUCGAGGAGAACAACUGAAGACUUCUGCUGA